rnacentral:rRNA from 1 species
GAUGAACGCUAGCGGCAGGCCUAACACAUGCAAGUCGAGGGGCAGCACGUCUUCGGAUGGUGGCGACCGGCGCACGGGUGCGUAACGCGUAUGCAACCUACCUCUUACAGUGGGAUAGCCCAGAGAAAUUUGGAUUAAUACCGCAUAGUAUGCGACAUCAGCAUUGAUGACGUAUUAAACAUUCAUGGGUAAGAGAUGGGCAUGCGUUCUAUUAGUUAGUUGGAGUGGUAACGGCACCCCAAGACAGCGAUAGAUAGGGGCCCUGAGAGGGGGAUCCCCCACGACUGGUACUGAGACACGGACCAGACUCCUACGGGAGGCAGCAGUGAGGAAUAUUGGACAAUGGGCGGGAGCCUGAUCCAGCCAUGCCGCGUGCAGGAAGACU